rnacentral:rRNA from 1 species
GACGAACGCUGGCGGCGUGCUUAACACAUGCAAGUCGAACGGAAAGGCCCUGCUUUUGUCGGGUGCCCGAGUGGCGAACGGGUGAGUAACCCGUGAGUAACCUGCCCUUGACUUUGGGAUAACUUCAGGCAACUGGGGCUAAUACCGGCUAGGAGCUCCUGCUGCAUGGUGGGGUUUGGAAAGUUUCGGCGGUUGGGGAUGUACUCGCGGCUUAUCAGCUUGUUGGUGGGGUAGUGGCUUACCAAGGCUUUGACGGAUAGCCGGCCUGAGAGGGUGACCGGCCUCAUUGGGACUGAGGUACGGCGCAGACUCCUACGGGGGGCAGCAGGGGGGAAUAUUGCCCAACGGGGGGAAGCCUGAUGAAGAGGCGCCGCGUGCGGGAUGACGGCCUUGGGGUUGUAAACCGCUUUAGCCUGUGACGAAGCGUUAGUGACGGUAAUGGGUAAAGAAGCACCGGCUAACUACGUG